rnacentral:rRNA from 1 species
GCGGCCGCUCUAGAACUAGUGGAUCCCCCGGGCUGCAGCCCAAUGUGGAAUUCGCCCUUCGCCCGCCGCGCGCGGCGGGCGGGGCGGGGGCACGGGGGGCCUACGGGAGGCAGCAGUGGGGAAUAUUGCACAAUGGGCGCAAGCCUGAUGCAGCGACGCCGCGUGAGGGAUGGAGGCCUUCGGGUUGU